UACGGAGGGAGCUAGCGUUGUUCGGAAUUACUGGGCGUAAAGCGCGCGUAGGCGGCUUUGUAAGUUAGAGGUGAAAGCCCGGGGCUCAACCCCGGAACUGCCUUUAAGACUGCAUCGCUUGAAUCCAGGAGAGGUGAGUGGAAUUCCGAGUGCAGAGGUGAAAUUCGUAGAUAUUCGGAAGAACACCAGUGGCGAAGGCGGCUCACUGGACUGGUAUUGACGCUGAUGUGCGAAAGCGUGGGGAGCGAACAGG
rnacentral:rRNA from 1 species